rnacentral:rRNA from 1 species
GACGAACGCUGGCGGCGUGCAUAACACAUGCAAGUCGAACGGAAAGGCCCUGCUUUUGUGGGGUGCUCGAGUGGCGAACGGGUGAGUAACACGUGAGUAACCUGCCCUUGACUUUGGGAUAACUUCAGGAAACUGGGGCUAAUACCGGAUAGGAGCUCCUGCUGCAUGGUGGGGGUUGGAAAGUUUCGGCGGUUGGGGAUGGACUCGCGGCUUAUCAGCUUGUUGGUGGGGUAGUGGCUUACCAAGGCUUUGACGGGUAGCCGGCCUGAGAGGGUGACCGGCCUCAUUGGGACUGAGAUACGGCCCAGACUCCUACGGGAGGCAGCAGUGGGGAAUAUUGCACAAUGGGCGGAAGCCUGAUGCAGCAACGCCGCGUGCGGGAUGACGGCCUUCGGGUUGUAAACCGCUUUCGCCUGUGACGAAGCGUGAGUGACGGUAAUGGGUAAAGAAGCACCGGCUAACUACGUG